UAGUCCACGCCGUAAACGAUGUCAACUAGCCGUUGGGAGCAAUUAAGCUCUUAGUGGCGCAGCUAACGCGAUAAGUUGACCGCCUGGGGAGUACGCCGGCAACGGUAAAACUCAAAUGAAUUGACGGGGGCCCGCACAAGCGGUGGAGCAUGUGGUUUAAUUCGAUGCAACGCGAAAAACCUUACCUACCCUUGACAUCCUCAGAACUUGUUAGAGAUAACUUGGUGCCUUCGGGAACUGAGUGACAGGUGCUGCAUGGCUGUCGUCAGCUCGUGUCGUGAGGUGUUGGGUUAAGUCCCGCAACGAGCGCAACCCCUAUUGUUAGUUACCAGCACGUUAAGGUGGGGACUCUAGCAAGACUGCCGGCGUAAGCCGCGAGGAAGGUGGGGACGACGUCAAAUCAUCAUGGCCUUUAUGCCCAGGGCUACACACGUGCUACAAUGGUGCAUACAGAGGGUAGCGAAGCCGCGAGGUGGAGCCAAUCUCAUAAAGCCUAUCCCAGUUCGGAUU
rnacentral:rRNA from 1 species